UCCGCCUGGGUACUACGAGCGUAAGCUUAAAACCCAAAGGACUUGGCGGUGCUUUAGAUCCACCUAGAGGAGCCUCUUCUAGAACCGAUAAUCCCCGUUAAACCUCACCCCCUCUGGUCAUCCCCGCCUAUAUACCGCCGUCGUCAGCCCACCCUGUGAAGGAACUAUAGUGAGCUUAAUUGGUAGAGCCCAAAACGCCAGGUCAAGGUGUAGCAUAUGAGGGGGGAAGAAAUGGGCUACAUUUCCUGAUUAAGGAAAUACGGAUUGUAUUAUGAAAAAUUACAUGAAGGAGGAUUUAGUAGUAAGUGAAAACAGAGUGUUUC
rnacentral:rRNA from 1 species